AGAGUUUGAUCCUGGCUUAGGAUGAACGCUGGCGGCGUGCCUAACACAUGCAAGUCGAGCGAUUCUCUUCGGAGAAGAGCGGCGGACGGGUGAGUAACGCGUGGGUAACCUGCCUCAUACACAUGGAUAACAUACCGAAAGGUAUGCUAAUACAGGAUAACAUAAGAGAUUCACAUGAAUUUCCUAUCAAAGCUCCGGCGGUAUGAGAUGGACCCGCGUCUGAUUAGCUAGUUGGUAAGGUAAUGGCUUACCAAGGCGACGAUCAGUAGCCGACCUGAGAGGGUGAUCGGCCACAUUGGAACUGAGACACGGUCCAAACUCCUACGGGAGGCAGCAGUGGGGAAUAUUGCACAAUGGGCGAAAGCCUGAUGCAAGCAACGCCGCGUGAGUGAUGAAGGCCUUCGAGUCGUAAAACUCUGUCCUCAAGGAAGAUAAUGACGGUACUUGAGGAGGAAGCCCCGGCUAACUACGUGCCAGCAGCCGC
rnacentral:rRNA from 1 species